rnacentral:rRNA from 1 species
ACACCGGCAGCUCUAGUGGUAGCUGUUUUUAUUGGGCCUAAAGCGCUCGUAGCCGGUUUGGUAAGUCACUGGUGAAAUCCUGUAGCUUAACUAUGGGACUUGCUGGUGAUACUGUUGAACUUGAGGUCGGGAGAGGUUAGCGGUACUCCCAGGGUAGAGGUGAAAUUCUGUAAUCCUGGGAGGACCACCUGUGGCGAAGGCGGCUAACUGGAACGAACCUGACGGUGAGGGACGAAAGCUAGGGGCGCGAACCGGAUUAGAUACCCGGGUAGUCCUAGCCGUAAACGAUGCGGACUUGGUGUUGGGAUGGCUUUGAGCCGCUCCGGUGCCGAAGGGAAGCUGUUAAGUCCGCCGCCUGGGAAGUACGGUCGCAAGACUGAAACUUAAAUGAAUUGGCGGGG